UUGGGGGCGCCGCGAUUUUUCAGUAUAUUUCUACUUUUGUUCAUAUAAUAUAUUAGUGUUGUAAUGCUUUGUGGCGGAAAAAUGAUAAGUCCGUCCCUGCUGAUAUAUAAUUAAAGACUAUUUUAUGUGAUAUAUAGAUUUAUAGAAUAUUUAUAAAUAUAUAAAUGUAUUAUAUAAAUUAUUAUGAAUCUAUAAUUUGGAGAAACAUCUGCCGCCAAAUCUACGACGGUCACAGAAAUACAGAAUUACUAUAAGUAAAAUAAAAGAUUCUGUGCGGAACGAUGAAUGCUAUGGAUUUUGGAGCAGUAGUGUAGGUGAAGAUCGAUGGGCCCAGGCACGGAUUCAGAGCAAAGAUCUAGGGAGGGCCCCAACAAUAUUUUAUAGGUAAUUUCAUUUAGGUUAUUCAUAAUUUAAAAAUUUGUCAUAAUAGUAGGUAUAGAACAGGUAAUUAAUGAAAUAACAUGUCUGGGUGGGCCUGGGCCCCUAGGACCCCCCUGGAUGGGCCAUGGGCGAUUCCCUCUGAAAUUUUUUAUUGGUGAUGUUUUAAUCACAGUUAUAACUUAGCUAAUAUUUUGUGGUGUAUAACAAUCUUUAAAUAGCCCCCCCCUCCCUAGAUUUGAGCUCCAGCAACGCUACUGCUUUGGACAUUAGUUCAGCAAUGAAAUGUAUUUUUGUUUUAUUAAAAUAUGUAUACUAAACUCAUAGACCUUAUACGUUAUACCUGCAUGUGUUGUCCAGACAUGGCGUCAAAGGGAGGCAAGGUGGGGCUCUAGCCACCCCAGAAAACAGUUCAGUCCCCUCACUGAAAAAUAUGUAUGAUAUAUUAAAGUUAAAUUUUUUAUUUUAUUAAUUAAAAAUUGAAUUUAUUAUAAAUUAUAAUAAUUGAAUAUUAAUGAAGUUUGAACAAAUAA